rnacentral:rRNA from 1 species
GACGAACGCUGGCGGCGUGCCUAAUACAUGCAAGUAGAACGCUGAAGAGAGGAGCUUACUCUUCUUGGAUGAGUUGCGAACGGGUGAGUAACGCGUAGGUAACCUGCCUUGUAGCGGGGGAUAACUAUUGGAAACGAUAGCUAAUACCGCAUAACAAUGGAUGACACAUGUCAUUUAUUUGAAAGGGGCAAUUGCUCCACUACAAGAUGGACCUGCGUUGUAUUAGCUAGUAGGUGAGGUAAUGGCUCACCUAGGCGACGAUACAUAGCCGACCUGAGAGGGUGUUCGGCCACACUGGGACUGAGACACGGCCCAGACUCCUACGGGAGGCAGCAGUAGGGAAUCUUCGGCAAUGGGGGCAACCCUGACCGAGCAACGCCGCGUGAGUGAAGAAGGUUUUCGGAUCGUAAAGCUCUGUUGUAAGUCAAGAACGGGUGUGAGAGUGGAAAGUUCACACUGUGACGGUAGCUUACCAGAAAGGGACGGCUAACUACGUG